GACGAACGCUGGCGGCGUGCUUAACACAUGCAAGUCGAACGGAAAGGCCCUGCUUUUGUGGGGUGCUCGAGUGGCGAACGGGUGAGUAACACGUGAGUAACCUGCCCUUGACUUUGGGAUAACGUCAGGAAACUGGGGCUAAUACCGGAUAGGAGCUCCUGCUGCAUGGUGGGGGUUGGAAAGUUUCGGCGGUUGGGGAUGGACUCGCGGCUUAUCAGCUUGUUGGUGGGGUAGUGGCUCACCAAGGCUUUGACGGGUAGCCGGCCUGAGAGGGUGACCGGCCACAUUGGGACUGAGAUACGGCCCAGACUCCUACGGGAGGCAGCAGUGGGGAAUAUUGCACAAUGGGCGGAAGCCUGAUGCAGCAACGCCGCGUGCGGGAUGACGGCCUUCGGGUUGUAAACCGCUUUCGCCUGUGACGAAGCGUGAGUGACGGUAAUGGGUAAAGAAGCACCGGCUAACUACGUG
rnacentral:rRNA from 1 species